rnacentral:rRNA from 1 species
AGGACGAACGCUGGCGGCGUGCCUAAUGCAUGCAAGUCGAGCGACGAAUAGGUGCGGGUAACCAAGCCUAUUACGGAGCGGCGAACGGGUGAGUAACACGCGAGCAACCUGCCCCGCAGACCGGGAUAGCCCAGGGAAACUUGGAUUAAUACCGGAUAUUCUCUUCAAACCACAUGGUCCCGAAGAGGAAAGCCUUUGUGCU